ACAGUUUGAUCGUGGCUCAUAUUGAACGCUGGCGGCAUGCCUUACACAUGCAGGCCUAACGGCAGCACGGAGCUUGCUCUGGUGGCGAGUGGCUCCGGGUGAGUAAUAUAUCGGAACGUACCCUUGGGUGGGGGAUAACGUGCGAAAGUUACACUAAUACCGCAUACCAUCUACGGAUGAGAGUGGGGGAUCAGCAAUGACCUCAUGCUCAUGGAGCGGCCGACUCUGAUUAGCUAGUUGGUAGGGUAAAAGCCUACCCUGGCAUCAAUCAUGAACUGUUCUGAAAGGACUACCCGCCACGCUGGAACUGACACGCGGUCCUCACUCCUACCGUAGGGAUCGUUGGGGAAUUUUGGACUAUGGGGGAAAUCCUGAUCCACUAAUGCCGCGGGAGUGAAUAAUGCCUUCAGGUUGUCAAGCUCUUUUGUCAGGGAACAAACGGUGGUUUCUAAUACAGAUCACUAAUGACGGUACCUGAAGAAUCCCACCGGCUAACUACGUGCCACCAUGCGCGGGAAUACGUAGGGUGCUCGCGUUAAUCCGAAUUACUGGGCGUAAUGCGUGCGCUGGCGGUUAUGUAAGACAGAUGUGAAAUGCCCGGUCUUAACCUGGUAACUGCAUUUGUGACUGCAUGGCUAGAGUUUGGCAGAGGGGGGUAGAAUUCCACGUGUAGCCUAGAAAUGCGUAUAUAUGUGCGAGGAACACCGAUGGUAUCUAAUCCCCCCCUGCCCUCAAGACUGACGCUGCAUGCACGAAAGCGCUGUGAGAGCAAACAGGAGUAUAUACCAUGGGUAGUCCAUCCCCAUAAACUAUGUCUACUACUUGUCGACGUCGUAAUUGACUUGCCCAUCUGAGCUAAUGCGUGCAUGAGAUCGCCUGCGGAGUACGGUCGCUGAG
rnacentral:rRNA from 1 species